ensembl:snoRNA LOC120099471 small nucleolar RNA SNORA48
AGCCCCUGGCAAUGAGCAAAGAGACACCUUAAUGGUUGUGUUGCUCUUUUAUCAGCCAGGGGCAGAGCAGAUUGCAGUCCUUUGUCCUAGCUUGAUGCCUGGCUUGGUGGCCUAAGCUGUUUUAUGCCCAGGACUCAUAC